rnacentral:rRNA from 1 species
GAUCCUGGCUCAGAAUCAACGCUGGCGGCGUGCCUCAGACAUGCAAGUCGAACGAUUAAAGCUCUCUUCGGAGAGUGUAUAGAGUGGCGCACGGGUGAGUAACACGUAAGUAAUCUACCCUCGAGUGGGGAAUAACGUUCGGAAACGAACGCUAAUACCGCAUAAUGCAGCGGCAUCGCAAGAUGACAGUUGUUAAAGGAGUAAUUCGCUUGAGGAGGAGCUUGCGGCAGAUUAGCUUGUUGGUAAGGUAACGGCUUACCAAGGCUACGAUCUGUAUCCGGUCUAAGAGGACGGUCGGACACACUGACACUGAAUAACGGGUCAGACUCCUACGGGAGGCAGCAG